rnacentral:rRNA from 1 species
UACGACUACAUAUCAGGCAUAUCAAUAAGCGGAGGAAAAGAAACUAACUAGGAUUCCCUCAGUAACGGCGAGUGAAGCGGGAAGAGCUCAAAUUUGAAAUCUUCAAGGUUCUACCUUGACGAAUUGUAGUUUAAAGAAGUGUUUUCUGUUGGUGUUUUGGUAAAAGUUCUUUGGAAUAGGACAUCAUAGAGGGUGAGAAUCCCGUAUUUGACCAUUACUUCCAGCGUUGUGAUACACUUUCAAAGAGUCGGAUUGUUUGGGAAUGCAGUCCAAAAUGGGUGGUAAAUUUCAUCUAAAGCUAAAUAUUGGCGAGAGACCGAUAGCGAACAAGUACCGUGAGGGAAAGAUGAAAAGAACUUUGAAAAGAGAGUUAAACAGUACGUGAAAUUGUCAAAAGGGAAGCGUUUGACACCAGUGUUGUUUUCUCGAAAAUCAAUUAAAAAUAACUUUGAUUUUGUGUUGUUAUGACCUUAUCAAGCUUACUUCACUUUUUUCUUGCUCUUUUUAAUGCACUUUUCGUUUAACAAGUCAACAUCAAUUUCUUUUGUUGUAAAAGGGUCAUUGGAAGGUGGCUUUCACUUCGGUGAAAGUGUUUAUAGCCUUUGGCUUCUACAAUCGGAGAGAUUGAGGUCUGCAGCGUAGAUCCUUCGGGGUUAGAUACGUAGAUGCUAAGUUAUAGUUUUUUAUAGACAACUUGUUGACUAUAAUUAAUCAUGUAGCUUACUCGUUUGCGCUAUUUUACCUACGCUUAGGAUGUUGAUCUCUCACAGUCGAGC